rnacentral:lncRNA from 1 species
GCGGGGCCACGCGGCGCAUCCGCGCAGCCAGUGCCUGUGAAGUUAAAACAGCCCGAACUCUUAGUGCCCGAGAGUGGAUUGCAUGCCAAUUCUCCAAGGCAAGAUCCCUAAAUACAUAUAUUUACAGUAACUCAUGGUCUGGUCGCAAGGAACACGUUGUUUAUUCACUGAAACAGCACGAGUUCAGUGUCCUUACGCUACAGGAUACAGGAUAGGAAGGUUCCCUAGCGGCGUCCCUGUAAUGAAUGAUCCAAGAGUAACACCACCACAACCUGCGAGGAAGGCACAGUGGUUUCGGCACAGAGGUUUGUGCCCGUCCCUUCAGUCCGGGAAUUCCGAAGCGCCGGUGUCCACCGGCGUGACCGUGGAUCGGGGCGUGCUCCUGCGAGUCCGGCGAGUUCGUGUCCACCGCCUGGCCGCCCGCCCCAGAAACCUGGCUCCGGGAGAUGGGUCCUGCCUUCCAGUGGGCAGAAGGAAAGGAUGCCAGCAAAAAUGGCUAAUCCUCUUCCAGCUGCAGUAAAUUGACGACUGGCCAAAGCCAAGCGAAACCCGCUGCAGUUAAAAAGAUUUUAGCUUCACGUCUGGGGCUGAGAAUGGAGCGGCAGUAUAUAAAACGACCUGUGGAUCAAUGGAAAGGAGAUCGUAGUGUCUCCGAAUAUUAAUACGUUUAUACCAACUAUGUCCAAACUCCUAUGGCGUCCAAGUGGUUGCAAUGGCACCCAUGUCUUGGGUCAGUCCUGUGGCCAGUCCUGUGGCCAUAUUAAAGGAGAUAUCUUGACUGAGGAGGAUCACAGAGUAGUAAGGAGCAUAAGGAAGGAAGGACAGAAACUCCAACAGACCAAGUUCCUGAACAGUGUCCUGAGCUCCAGGCAGGGCUCUUUUUGGUUAGGAAAAGAGAAGACUCACUGAGCUCCUAGAGAAAUGAAGAGCUGGGUGUUGGCCUGGUCAGGGCUUCAGUGUCAAAUAUCUUCCUGUUGGAAGAUAGGAAACAGGAAGCAACCUGUUGGAAAGAUCGACCUGGGAUUUGUAGUGUCAUCAGCCACCUGGUUCCACACUACAAAGAUGCAGAGGACACCGGACCACCAGACCACUGUACUGGCUGGGAUUGUGAACUCUGGAAGAACACCAGAGAGACAGAUUUCAUCAUACAAUGUCAAGGAGAACAUGCUUUCUACAGACUGUGAACUCCCACAGUGUAUUUGUUGAUGGCUACUAGAGUCAGAUGUAGAAGAAUGCAAACAUCCAUCUGCUCACUGGAGAACCAAAGGAUCCAGUCACGGGCUUGGAGGCCAUGGCAAUGUCCCACGCAAGCUUAUAUGAAGGAUCUGCACCGGAAAGGCCCAAAGGCCAAUGGUGGAAGACAGAAAGUUUGUGCCAGCAGGAUGAAAGAUCUGCACUGGAAGCCAGGAGAUGAUGUCCAAGAUGAAGAUGAGGGUUGACAUCAGCCAAAGCUCCUUUCCAGACAAACCACCAAAAGCAGCUUCUUCAGGAACAUCAGGGGUAUUUACUGUAUAUUGUACUGCUUACCAUCCACUAUGAUGUCACAGAAAGCUCAAGGAAGGGAUAUCAUCCAGACUCAGUAAAUUCACAACUUGUUUUUCCCAUAAUAUGGGUAUGAAUGAGUGUAAUAAAUAAAAAAGUAUUUUAAAUGGUGUUAAUUUGAACCAACGUAAAUUGCAGAAAUCUUUCCAAAAGCUGUUUUCUUAAAGUUCCUAGUAUUUCCUCCCAUGUUUAGGAUAAGCAUACCUGCUUCUCUUUCUUUCUCUCCAUUGUCUUCUGAGAAAUGCCUAAAAUCCACAAAAGUUGAAUACACUUUAUGGUUUAUUCCUCUUCUCUUCUACUUUGAUUCUCAAUCCAUUGAGCUUAGAUUGUAGCCAAUGUAUAAAUCAAUAGGUUGUAAAUGCAAUUUACAUAGAUUAUCCUGUUGUUUUUUGGUUAUAUGGUCAAGUGUGGGCAAAGUUCAAUAGGUUCCAUUUUUUUGUUCAGUGUGAAAUACCAGAACACCAAAAGCUCUAGAAGAUUCUUAAGGAGAUAUGUAAAUCUUUGAAGAAGAUACAUGAGUACAUGUCAUACUGUUGAGCCAAUGAAAGUACAUAAAUCACAGCUGGAGAGAGUUUCUUUAAUUAGAGAAUGUCCAAUUUACCACAUGGAGAAAAGUAUCUCCUAAGUUUCUUCAUGCCUUCUCUUGGGACUCUUUGGAAUAACAAAGUAACUACUUUAUUUAAGGGAUUUUCCCUUUUAAGACCCUGCUAUUCUAGUUUCUAGAUAAUUUCAUAUUCUUGAUGAAUGUUGAUUUGUCUCUGUUAUGGCUUGUAUCUAGAUGUCCUCCAAAAGCCUCAUGAGGUCAUAGGUGGAGAGUAUCAAAGGUGGCUGGAUUAGGGUGUGUGAUAGGAUUAAGGCUGAGAUGUUGGGAUUAACGGUGCCCCACCCUGGGUGUGGGUGGCACCACCCAAAAGAUGGGUAGCCUGGUUAGAAUAUAAAGGAACAGAAAGAAGUUGCUUUGCUAUUUUGCUGCUUUGCUGCCUUCUACCUGCCCUGCUUUGCCAUGGACUAUUUCUUCUCUGUGAUGCCACUCUGCCAUGCCACCCUGUCUUGGACCCAGCUGACAAUGUACUGAAAUGUCUACAAACUGUGAGCUGAAAUAAACUUUUCUGCCUUUAACUCUGGGUGUUUGAUAUUUUGUCUCAGCAAUGAGAAAAAUAACUAAGACACAUUCCAAAUGAAUAAGUAGCUAUCUUUCCAAUUUCAUUUAAUAAGAGAAUUUGAAAUCUCUUC